rnacentral:rRNA from 1 species
ACAUGCAAGUCGAGCGCCCAGCAAUGGGAGCGGCGGACGGGUGAGUAACGCGUGGGAAUUUUUCCUGGAGUACGGAACAACCGAGGGAAACUUCGGCUAAUACCGUAUGAUAUCGAGAGAUCAAAGAUUUAUCGCUCUGGGGUGAGCCCGCGUCAGAUUAGGUAGUUGGUGGGGUAACGGCCUACCAAGCCUGCGAUCUGUAGCUGGUCUGAGAGGACGAUCAGCCACACUGGGACUGAGACACGGCCCAGACUCCUACGGGAGGCAGCAGUGGGGAAUCUUGCGCAAUGGGCGAAAGCCUGACGCAGCCAUGCCGCGUGAGUGAAGAAGGUCUUAGGAUUGUAAAGCUCUUUCGCUCGUGACGAUGAUGACGGUAACGAGAGAAGAAGCCCCGGCUAACUUCGUGCCAGCAGCCGCGGUAAUACGAAGGGGGCUAGCGUUGUUCGGAAUUACUGGGCGUAAAGCGCGCGUAGGCGGUUUUGCAAGCCAGAGGUGAAAUGCCUGAGCUCAACUUAGGAAUUGCCUUUGGGACUGCGAGGCUUUGAGGACUGGAGAGGUGAGUGGAAUUCCCAGUGUAGAGGUGAAAUUCGUAGAUAUUGGGGAAGAACACCGGUGGCGAAGGCGGCUCACUGGCCAGUUUCUGACGCUGCAGCGCGAAAGCGUGGGGGAUCAAACAGGAUUAGAUACCCUGGUAGUCCACGCUGUAAACGAUGAGUGCUA